GGGCGGGCUACACAUGCAGUCGAGGGGUAGGGGGUGCUUGCACCCCUGAGACCGGCGCACGGGUGCGGAACGCGUAUGGAACCUGCCCCUGUCAGGGGAAUAGCCCAGGGAAACUUGGAUUAAUGCCCCAUGGUAUCAUUACAUCGCAUGAUGUUGUGAUUAAAGAUUUAUCGGACAGGGAUGGCCAUGCGUACCAUUAGCUUGAUGGUGGGGUAACGGCCCACCAUGGCAACGAUGGUUAGGGGCCCUGAGAGGGGGAUCCCCCACACUGGUACUGAGACACGGACCAGACUCCUACGGGAGGCAGCAGUGAGGAAUAUUGGACAAUGGUCGGAAGACUGAUCCAGCCAUGCCGCGUGCAGGAUGACGGCCCUAUGGGUUGUAAACUGCUUUUAUACGGGAAGAAACCCACCUACGUGUAGGUGGCUGACGGUACCGUAAGAAUAAGGACCGGCUAACUCCGUGCCAGCAGCCGCGGUAAUACGGAGGGUCCGAGCGUUAUCCGGAAUCAUUGGGUUUAAAGGGUCCGUAGGCGGGCCUGUAAGUCAGGGGUGAAAGUUUGUGGCUCAACCAUAAAAUUGCCUUUGAUACUGCAGGUCUUGAGUCAUGGUGGGGUUGCCGGAACAUGUGGUGUAGCGGUGAAAUGCAUAGAUAUCACAUAGAACACCGAUCGCGAAGGCAGGUGACCAACCAUGUACUGACGCUGAUGG
rnacentral:rRNA from 1 species